rnacentral:precursor_RNA from 12 species
AAAGGGAAGGUGAUAUGCACUAUUGGUGAAUGGUAGUGACUUCCCAAGUGAUGUUACAUUCUAAAUUCAUCACUGGAAAGGCAAUAUCAUUAGCUACAAGUGAGAAGCAACAAACUAAGAU